rnacentral:rRNA from 1 species
CCUACGGGAGGCAGCAGUGGGGAAUAUUGCGCAAUGGGCGGAAGCCUGACGCAGCGACGCCGCGUGGGGGAUGACGGCCUUCGGGUUGUAAACCUCCUUCAGCAGGGACGAAGCGAAAGUGACGGUACCUGCAGAAGAAGCACCGGCCAACUACGUGCCAUCAGCCGCGGUAAUGCGUAGGGUGCAAGCGUUGUCCGGAAUUAUUGGGCGUAAAGAGCUCGUAGGCGGUUUGUUGCGUCGGCUGUGAAAUCCCGAGGCUCAACCUCGGGUCUGCAGUCGAUACGAGCAAACUAGAGUGUUGCAGGGGAUACUGGAAUUCCUGGUGUAUCGGUGAAAUGCGCAUAUAUCAAGAGGAACACCGGUGGCGAAGGCGGGUCUCUGGUCAACAUCUGACGCUGAUGAUCGAAAGCGUGGGGAGCGAACAUGAUUAUGUACCCUGGUAGUCCACGCCGUAAACGUUGGGCGCUAGGUGUGGGGCUCAUUCCACUAGUUCCGUGCCGCAUCUAACGCAUUAAUCGCCCCGCCUGGGGAGUACGGCCGCAAGGCUAAAACUCAAAGGAAUUGACGGGGGCCCGCACAAGCGGCUGAGCAUGUUGCUUAAUUCGAUGCAACGCGAAGAACCUUACCUAUGCUUGACAUGCACGGAAAUCUCCCAGAUAUGGGAGGUCCGUAAGGGCCGUGCACAGGUGGUGCAUGGUUUGUCGUC